AUUUACCACGCGUACACUGCGUCCUGCGCGCCCACCUGGCGACUGCUUGCUACAUUUUGUUAGCC
rnacentral:sRNA from 1 species